UACGGGGGGAGCAAGCGUUGUUCGGAUUUACUGGGCGUAAAGGGCGCGUAGGCGGCCACCGCAAGUCAGUUGUGAAAUCUCUGGGCUUAACCCAGAACGGUCAGCUGAUACUGCGGGGCUAGAGUGCAGAAGGGGCAACUGGAAUUCUCGGUGUAGCGGUGAAAUGCGUAGAUAUCGAGAGGAACACCUGCGACGAAGGCGGGUUGCUGGGCUGACACUGACGCUGACAGCGCGAAAGCUAGGGGAGCGAACGGG
rnacentral:rRNA from 1 species